rnacentral:rRNA from 1 species
AACGAACGCUGGCGGCAGGCUUAACACAUGCAAGUCGAGCGAGACCUUCGGGUCUAGCGGCGGACGGGGGGGUAACGCGUGGGAACGUGCCCUUCUCUACGGAAUAGCCCCGGGAAACUGGGAUUAAUACCGUAUACGCCCUUUGCGGGAAAGAUGUAUCGGAGAAGGAUCGGCCCGCGUUGGUUUAGGUGGUUGGUGGGGUAAUGGCCCACCAAGCCGACGAUGCAUAGCUGGUUGGAGAGGAUGAGAUGCCACACUGGGACUGAGACACGGACCAGACUCCUACGGGAGGGAGCAGUGGGGAAUCUUAGACAAGGGGGGCAACCCUGAUCUAGCCAUGCGGCGUGAGUGAUGAAGGCGUUAGGGUUGUAAAGCUCUUUCAGCUGGGAAGAUAAUGACGGUAACAGCAGAAGAAGCCCCGGCUAACUACGUG